GGAUCAACAUGUCGGUCGUGCCUCGGUACGUACUGGCUUAUUGGUUUCUCCUUUCUGAAGAACCAUGAUGUCAUCUAUUUGGUGUCAUGGGAAAUCAGGACUGUUACUUUGAAAAAUUAGAGUGUUUAAAGCAGGCUCACGCUUGAAUACAUUAGCAUGGAAUAAUGAAAUAGGACGUUUGAUUCUAUUUUGUUGGUUUCUAGGAUCGACGUAAUGAUUAAUAAG
rnacentral:rRNA from 1 species